rnacentral:rRNA from 1 species
GAUCAUGGCUCAGGAUGAACGCUAGCUACAGGCUUAACACAUGCAAGUCGAGGGGAAACGACAUCGAAAGCUUGCUUUUGAUGGGCGUCGACCGGCGCACGGGUGAGUAACGCGUAUCCAACCUGCCCAUCACUUGGGAAUAACCUUGCGAAAGUAAGACUAAUGCCCAAUGAUAUCCCACGAAGGCAUCCUAAUGGGAUUAAAGAUUUAUCGGUGAUGGAUGUGGAUGCGU